GCGGCAUGCCUUACACAUGCAAGUCGAACGGCAGCACGGGAGCAAUCCUGGUGGCGAGUGGCGAACGGGUGAGUAAUAUAUCGGAACGUGCCCAGUAGUGGGGGAUAGCCCGGCGAAAGCCGGAUUAAUACCGCAUGAGACCUGAGGGUGAAAGCGGGGGACUCGCAAGAGCCUCGCGCUACUGGAGCGGCCGAUAUCAGAUUAGCUAGUUGGUGGGGUAAAAGCCUACCAAGGCUACGAUCUGUAGUUGGUCUGAGAGGACGACCAGCCACACUGGGACUGAGACACGGCCCAGACUCCUACGGGAGGCAGCAGUGGGGAAUUUUGGACAAUGGGCGAAAGCCUGAUCCAGCAAUGCCGCGUGCAGGAAGAAGGCCUUCGGGUUGUAAACUGCUUUUGUCAGGGAAGAAAUCCCUUGGGAUAAUACCUCGGGGGGAUGACGGUACCUGAAGAAUAAGCACCGGCUAACUACGUG
rnacentral:rRNA from 1 species